rnacentral:rRNA from 1 species
CCUACGGGUGGCAGCAGUGGGGAAUAUUGCACAAUGGGGGAAACCCUGAUGCAGCGACGCCGCGUGAGUGAAGAAGGAUUUCGGUAUGUAAAGCUCUAUCAGUAGGGAAGAAGCAAGAGGGUACCUGACUCAGAAGCCCCGGCUAACUACGUGCCAGCAGCCGCGGUAAGACGUAGGGGGCAAGCGUUAUCCGGAUUUACUGGGUGUAAAGGGAGCGUAGACGGGAUGGCAAGUCUGAAGUGAAAGCCCAGGGCUUAACCCUGGAACUGCGUUUGAAACUGUUAGACUAGAGUGCAGGAGAGGUAAGUGGAAUUCCUAGUGUAGCGGUGAAAUGCGUAGAUAUUAAGAGGAACACCAGUGGCGAAGGCGGCUUACUAGACAGUAACUGACGUUGAUGCUCGAAAGCGUGGGGAGCAAACAGGAUUAGAUACCCCAGUAGUC